UAAAUAGUUUCGUACCACAGUAUGUGGCACUCUUCAGAUAAAUUGACCUAAAGAGUGCCACAUACUGUGGUACGAAACUAUUUA
rnacentral:miRNA from 1 species